UACGGGGGGGGCAAGCGUUGUUCGGAAUUACUGGGCGUAAAGGGUUAGUAGGUGGCCAACUACGUCAGACGUGAAAUCCCUCAGCUUAACUGGGGAACUGCGUGUGAUACUGGAUGGCUUGGAUUUGGGAGAGGGAUGCGGAAUUCCAGGUGUAGCGGUGAAAUGCGUAGAUAUCUGGAGGAACACCGGUGGCGAAGGCGGCAUCCUGGACCAAUAUUGACGCUGAGGAGCGAAAGCCAGGGGAGCAAACGGG
rnacentral:rRNA from 1 species